UGGGGGAUAUUGCACAAUGGGCGAAAGCCUGAUGCAGCGACGCCGCGUGGGGGAUGAAGGCUUUCGGGUUGUAAACCUCUUUCGCUAUCGAACAAGGCCCGCUUAGGGUGGGUUGAGGGUAGGUGGAGAAGAAGCGCCGGCUAACUACGUGCCAGCAGCCGCGGUAAUACGUAGGGCGCGAGCGUUGUCCGGAAUUAUUGGGCGUAAAGGGCUUGUAGGCGGCUUGUCGCGCCUGCUGUGAAAACGCGGGGCUUAACUUCGCGCGUGCAGUGGGUACGGGCAGGCUUGAGUGUGGUAGGGGUGACUGGAAUUCCAGGUGUAGCGGUGGAAUGCGCAGAUAUCUGGAGGAACACCGAUGGCGAAGGCAGGUCACUGGGCCAUUACUGACGCUGAGGAGCGAAAGCAUGGGUAGCGAACAGG
rnacentral:rRNA from 1 species